ensembl:rRNA 5S_rRNA 5S ribosomal RNA
GCUUACGGCCACACCGCCUGGUUCACGCCUGAUCUCGUUUGAUCUCUGAAGUUAAGAUAGGUUGGGCCUGGUUAGUGCUUGGAUGGGAGACCGCCUGGGAAUACCAGGUGCUGUAAGCU